rnacentral:lncRNA from 1 species
CCAGCUUGACCUGUGCAUGCACUAAGCUCUAAACAUCAAACCCCAUAUACAUUACAUGACUUUACAUUAUCUCUUUAUACAUUACAUGUCCACUACUCUAUAUUAUUACACUUAGACUUUACCCUUGCUGAUCCUCCACCUUCUCUAUGGCCUUGAAAACAUGGGGUUAGGGAGAGGGGUGAGCUACUCGAGCCCAGUGAGCAGAACAAUAACACAUUUAAAAACAUGCUCUCAUGAAAUGCGUCACAUCACAAAUGAAUCACAUCACGGACGGACUGACCCAAAAAUCCCUCUGCUCUGUGUCCGGCCCUCAAAGGAGCUCCUCAGGACUUCUGUUACAUGCAUAUAAACUCUGUGCCCGGCCCUCAAGGGGCUCCUCAGGACUUCUGUUACAUAAACAUAAACAUCAGAGGGCUAAAGGGUCCUACUCUGUGUCCGUCCCCAUCAACAAGUAAUAAUGCAAUGCGUCAUCUUCGUGAACACUAAGGCAAUGCAAUACACCCUAACAUAACAUGGCAUUUAUGAUGCAUGAAUCAUGCUAAAAGCUUUCAUUAAUUGAAAAACAUAGUUCAGUUCCACUCACCUCUGUCAACUGCUGAACAGUCUCUGUAACUCUAACUCUGUGGGCCUCCUUGGUUCCUCGGGUCCGCACCUACACAGGUGGACUCAAAUGAGGACCAAACAUACUCUAACAUAGCUAUAAACAUCUCCCCAAAAACCCCCUAAAACAUCGUAAACAUGCAUGGAAAAAUGGGCAAAUGAAGGCUGGACAGGGCACUUUCGACGGCACGUUCGGCGGCCGAAAGAUGCACUUUCGGCGGCACCUUCGGCGGCCGAAAGUCCCCUCCAGAGCCGAAAGUCCAAACUUUCGGGAGCAAGGUUCGGGGGCUGAAAGACCUUUCAGAGCCGAAAGUCUCAACUUUCGGGGGCAAGGUUAGGCGGCCAAAAUAGCCUCCUUAAGGGGUUCGGCGGCCGAACCUUGCUCGGCGGCAGAACCUGAGUUUUGCCCAGAAGGCAAAACUCGAGUCAAACAUGCAUAUUCAGCCUCCCAAAACCUAAAAACACCCAAAAACAAGCAUACCAACUAGUUAUAACAUGCCUAUACCCUUUUCCAUGCAUAAAGGAGCUUAAAACUAGUUCAAACUCCAACAACAUCAUAACAUCUGGUCAACAUAUACUCAAUCUUCAAGAUCUAUUCUCUAACAUGCCAUAGACCUCUCUCAAACCUUUUCAACCAUGCUUAAAACAUAAGGGGAGGUGAGGAUCCAUGCUUACCUCUUAAAGAACGAGAGGAUCGAUGGUCCUAACUCGGAGGUGUGGAGAAAAACGAUCCAAAAUCUCCAAAACUCUCAACUUUGCCUUCUUUUGCUCAAAACUUCAAAAACACAAGUUAAAACUCAUUAAAGCUUGCAUAAUUUGAAGAACAUAGUGAAAACAGCCAAAGGAGGCCACAAACUCAC